GACGAACGCUGGCGGCGUGCCUAAUACAUGCAAGUCGAACGCUUCUUUCCUCCCGAGUGCUUGCACUCAAUUGGAAAGAGGAGUGGCGGACGGGUGAGUAACACGUGGGUAACCUACCCAUCAGAGGGGGAUGACACUUGGAAACAGGUGCUAAUACCGCAUAACAGUUUAUGCCGCAUGGCAUAAGAGUGAAAGGCGCUUUCGGGUGUCGCUGAUGGCUGGACCCGCGGUGCAUUAGCUAGUUGGUGAGGUAACGGCUCACCAAGGCCACGAUGCAUAGCCGACCUGAGAGGGUGAUCGGCCACACUGGGACUGAGACACGGCCCAGACUCCUACGGGAGGCAGCAGUAGGGAAUCUUCGGCAAUGGACGAAAGUCUGACCGAGCAACGCCGCGUGAGUGAAGAAGGUUUUCGGAUCGUAAAACUCUGUUGUUAGAGAAGAACAAGGACGUUAGUAACUGAACGUCCCCUGACGGUAUCUAACCAGAAAGCCACGGCUAACUACGUG
rnacentral:rRNA from 1 species